GCCGGUUCAACCCCACGGAUAUCCGCCUCCCUCAGAUCGAAUCCCGGAGUGGCAGCUUCAAGCUCUCUAGCCCCAAGGAAGCUCCACUCAGCCCC
rnacentral:ribozyme from 1 species